rnacentral:piRNA from 1 species
UAGGUAGCCAUACUUUUGGAUGU